GCGGAUGUGGCGGAAUUGGCAGACGCGCUAGAUUUAGGUUCUAGUGCCGCGAGGCGUGAAGGUUCAAGUCCUUUCAUCCGCA
rnacentral:tRNA from 38 species